AUUACGAUCAUUGUUUUCUGUGAUUUAUUGGUUGGUAUACAGCUGACCCAGCGGAGGGAUAUGGAUGUACAUGUAUAUCAGAAAAGACAACCGCCGAACUUAUCAGUUGGAGACGAAACGCGGCUCGAAGAGGUCAUGGCUUCGGUAGAAGUCAGAUCAAACCGCCGUGGUCUCCAGGGCUCCAUCGACUGCCUUGCUGAUGGCAGGACUUAACCGACUAAUGAUACAUACAGGACACGAGUGACAACGUCGAGGUGUUCCGCCACAACUUGCACAGGGACUCCUACCACGACAGGGAAAAUCAGUCGAGUCCUUCCACUGCAAGUCGGUGAGACGAGCUGCAUCACUGAAGGAGCCGGAAUAGACGUCCGUGUGCCUUAUAAAGUCGGGAAGGAGGGGAGCCACACAUCACCCAGAACAGCACCGUCGACAUGAGGAAGACAACGAGAGGAGAGUGCCAGACCAGUAGCAGAUCUAGAAUAGCCAAUCGAUUGCGCUGCUACAACCAUAGUGAACCUAAAACUAGUUAGAGAAUUCACGGACUGGUUUUGAGGUGAUUUAUACCAUUACUAUGCAUUUAGUGUACCGGGUAUAAAUUGCAGUAGUAGUUGAGUGUGCAUGUAAAUCAAAGAACCGCACAUAAGGUUAACCUCAGCGACGACGGACCGAAUCAAACCGGAGAUGGAUGUAGUUAAGGAGAGAACGGCCAUAGAAAUGUUCAUUACAAUUAUUCUGUAUCCAACCUGUGACCGAAGUUAGCGGGGUCAGCAUUAUGUAGUAACGUCAAAACACUUUAACAGUGUCCCGUGCCAAGUGUACGGAAAACCUUG